rnacentral:rRNA from 1 species
AGCAGUAGCCGCGGGAAUACGAAGGGGGCUAGCGUUGCUCGGAAUUACUGGGCGUAAAGGGAGCGUAGGCGGAUCGUUAAGUUGGGGGUGAAAGCCCGGGGCUCAACCUCGGAAUUGCCCUCAAUACUGGCGAUCUUGAGUAUGGAAGAGGUAUGUGGAACUCCGAGUGUAGAGGUGAAAUUCGUAGAUAUUCGGAAGAACACCAGUGGCGAAGGCGACAUACUGGUCCAUUACUGACGCUGAGGCUCGAAAGCGUGGGGAGCAAACAGGAUUAGAUACCCCAGUAGUCCCUGUCUCUUAUAC